rnacentral:rRNA from 1 species
GACGAACCGUGCGAACGUUAUUCGGAUUCACUGGGCUUAAAGGGCGCGUAGGCGGCUCCGCGAGUCGGGGGUGAAAUCUUUCAGCCCAACUGGAAGAGGGCCUCCGAGACCGCGGGACUCGAGGGGGAUAGGGGUGCGCGGAACUUCCGGUGGAGCGGUGAAAUGCGUAGAUAUCGGAAGGAACGCCGGUGGCGAAAGCGGCGCACUGGAUCCCUACUGACGCUGAGGCGCGAAAGCCAGGGGAGCGAACGGG